UCCAAUUUAUUCUUUUCCUACUUUGGUCUGGUUUGAGGAGACAUUGGAAAACUUGGGGAGCUCUUUCCUUUUUUUAAUUGAAUUUUUUUGGUGACGCUUGUUGGACGAAUCGAAUUCAGUGGAACCGGCACCGUGUUUUACGUUUCUAUUCUGUCUAAAGAUCCCCCGUGAAUUAUGUCUAAAUGCUGCGGAAACGAUGAGCUUUAUUUCAUCAGAGUUUUCUGUAUACAGGGAAGAUCUGUGAUGUCCAAUGUGUAAAAAUUUGUGUAAAUGAAAGAAGAAAAAGAAAGAAACAUGACUCUAAACAUAAACAUCAAACACAAAGAAGAAGCUUAUACAGAAAGCAGAAGAAAAUCCUGACAGUGAGAACAAACUCACAACAUGAUUGGAUGAAUUCUCAGCUAGACCCUGAAACCGACGCGAUGACGAGUUCACACUGAUGAUGGAGUGAAACUGUCAGUGGAGGAGACGGAACCAGCACGGACCCAGAGCUCAGUGCGACCGUUCCACUCCGACUACGACACCUACGACCUACGAGAUUCUGAUGAAGAGGCAGAGGAGGCAGAAGAUGCAGAUGAGGCAGAGGAGGUUUCCCAGCUGGAAAAUAUUCUACAGCUUUCUGUGCGUGAAGAAGAAAGAGGAAACCUUCUUGCCAGGUCUUUGGAUGAGUCUUCGGAGGUCAACAACUAUACAGAUGGUGGAGUGAAACUGUCAGUGGAGGAGACGGAACCAGAAUGGACCCAGAGCUCAGUGCGACCGUUCUACUCCGACUACGACACCUACGACCUACGAGAUUCUGAUGAAGAGGCAGAGUGAUCUAACUCUAAACAUGGACCGUGACUACGACUACGAUACGAACUAAACUAACUCUAUGAUAAUCUGCCGCGUUGUGUGCUGGGAGGCGCGCGUUAUAUAUGUGGACAUGAUCAGUGUCUAAACCGCUAGCAGCUGAGAGCAAUACAGACACACGUGAAAUCCCAGCCAAUGGCAGAACAGGGAGGAGACAUGACAGAAACAUAAACAAAACACACAUGUCCAGAUGUCAUUACGGUCAACAAUGGAAAAGCAGGCACUCGCGCAUUCGCGCUUUGAGCACACUGCUUCAAGGGGGAGUCUUGACAGAACCCCCCCCCCCAAAGGCACUCCUCCCGGAGUGCCAUGAGUCCUCCCUUCUCAUUGGCGGCCCCGGGCCCCUGGGCUGAAUGUCCCAAGCAGAGCCAGGAAACCACACGGUGACGGAGCAGGGAAGCAGAGCGACCCCAUGUCACUAUGGUCAACAAUGGAAAAGCAGGCGCUCGCGCAUUUGCGCUUUGAGCACACUGCUUCACGGGGGAAUCAUGACACAGAGGAGGCAGAGCAUAAUAAUAAUAAUAAUAAUAAUAAUAAUAGCUAAUUAUACAGUAAAUGAUAAGUAAUGUAAUUUAUGUUAUAUAAAAAUAUGUAUUGUUUUUUGUGUAUUGUAUAUGCAUUUUUUGUAUCUAAAUAAAGACUGUUGAUAUAUGUCGUUA